GGCACUUGAACAGUUUACUAUGGCACUUUCAGCAUCUUGCCUAAAUAGCGAAGCUGACAUCUUUGGCAAGUGCCAAAGCAGCAGCUGGUAGCCAUGAAUGUUUUUGCUGCACAGAAAAGCAGCAAGCUGUUUCUCAUGGUACUCAAAGCUGUAGGCUCCUGAGCAGUACUGUCAAGGUCUCUCAUAGGAAAAGUAUUUGUGCUUUUGUGCCCCACACAAGGCUGUCAGUGCCAUCACAGCUUUGGCAAUAUGCUGCUUCUGUCACCAGCAAAUCUGUGUGUUCACAGAAACAAAGAACUGCCUCAUGUGAUCUCUGUUAGCGUGUUGUGUUGAUAAAGUGGUCACAUUCUGCUUUUCACCCACUCAUUUAAGUAGUUCUUCAGUUUCUUUGUUUCUUUGCAGUUGAGAGCGAUGAGUUUAGAAGGAUGCAGAUGAAAAUAGUGCAUGGAAAGAAAUUUUCAAUGAGGUCACUUUGCUUUUCCACCAGAUGAGGAAGAGGUUAAGGACAACCAUUCAGGCUUGCUGAGAAUGCGGAUCUCUAGUAAAAGGAUAACUGCUCCCAGCGCUUUUGAUGCCCAUCCACCUUCUGGGCAGAGCCCCGUAACUGCUGAUGCUGUGGCAGCGUCCCGGGAUGCUUCGGAAGUGAUGGAUUGAGGCACACACGUAAUGACCUGUUCCAGUCAGAAACUGAGACAGCCUCAAAAGGAGUUGCCGACCAGAUCUAUAGAGUGAGACAUGUCAAACAGCUCAGUCCUAAGGCAUUUGCCAUGAAGACUGUGUGAAGCCAGUACUCUCACUUAGCAGCUACCUCAUUUCUGGGAGAUGUUUCAUUUCAUCAGACAGCUUUCUCCACAACUGAACAAGCACAAACAAAAUGGGUGUACCGCGGAUUUGAUGGAACCAAGGGAGCAAGAGCUGAAGUUCAGACUAUCGUGCCGUGUCCCUGGACCUCGCAGAGAUUUCAGUGCAAAUACAGCUUCAGAAACUACAUAAAACAUCCAAAGCCACAGAUUGUGAAGUAAAUUCAAGAUUGAGAGAGGAUGAAAGAUAAAAUGGACUCAGAGCCUGACAGGCUUUGGAUGAAGCUUUACAGGGAGCCAGAACUGCAAAGGAUGCUGUUGCAGUGAGGACCUGUCUGUGCAUGUGAACCGCAGGCCUGGCGUGCUGCACAGUUCGAAAUCCAAGAUUCAGAGGUAGGAACGUACAGUGUGGUCCAAGCCAAAUAAUUAAUGGCAUUUUGUUUCAUGACUUAAUAUUUAAAACUAUGUUGUUCCAAUUACUGAAAACAUUUAGUUUUCUAUGAGAAAUAUCCCCCUCCCCCAAAGUAAUGUAUUUUAACUCCAUUCAGGACUUUUUUCUAAGCUGCACUUGACUCUAGAAUUAGGCUUCCUUCAAAAAUCAUCACUGACUUUAUGGCACAGACAGCUAUGUCUCUCCAGCCUUUAUUAACUCAGCUGCACAAAAUCUCCAUGUCCACAGCUCGCCAUUUGUUGUUUUGUUUGUUGCACUGUUGAAGACUACCAGCAUUUCACCAGCAAAGACUCUCAUGUCUGCAGCUAUCCUAUUUUCUCUCAUGUCACUCAAGCGAACUGCCUUGAAGCUUGCCUGCACUGAGGUCGGAGUGGAGCUGCAGGAGCCCGGGGACCCUGCUGGGGGCUGACGUGCCAGGCACCCGCUCGGCCUGCAGGAGCUGCGGGUGCAGAUGCAAGCAGGGCUCCCCGGCACUGCCGGGAGCCAGGCAGACUUUUGCCUGAACGAGUACUGGGGGAUGGGGCACUCGUUCAGAGCCACAGACAACUGCUUAAAAUACCAGAUGUGUGCAGAAGAUGGAAAUUGGCAAUGUUACGAAUUCAGAAGGCAUGGGAUGAACACCUGACAUAAUGACAAUGGCCUCACCCCCCUUACUGACCAGCUACCCCAAACACAGCGAGCCCUCUGAACAGUUUAAUUGUAGCCCUUGCCCUUAUUCAUUAGAGUUAUUUUGAUGUACUGUGAUGAAUGGGGGAGAUCACUAUAUAUAAAAAGAGUUCAAUAAGCAGUAUGGAACAGUGCUCAUAUGUUUGUUUACAGGUUUACUCUUUCCUUACUAGAUUGGUAGUUUCCAGCCUGGAGUCAUGACAGUUUGGUUGGCACUCAAAGUUUUGCCCUCCUUUCCCCCUCUCUGUCAUGGAAGUCAUCAUUUUCAACCAGGUAUUUUUGAGUGUUACCUUUAUUUUAGUUGCCAGUGUCUUUAAGAGCUUAACUCUGUUCCUCUUACCACCAUCUCUGCAGGUGCUUCUGGAAAGCCAGGAGGAGACUUCUACCUCCUGUGCUUGUUGCCAGCAUGAUUCUGUGGUUUCCCAGCUGUGGUGAGGAACUGAGGUAUGCUGAGCAAUACUGAUGCUGUCCUGGCAUAACAGCAGGUAUGUAAAUACAUGGUACUUCAAUGCCACAAAUAUUUUGGAAGGUAGAACAAGGAAUGAGGGAAGAGUCUAUUAUUUUCUUUAGAAAUAGCCUUCAUCCUCUGCCUUCCCUUGACACCUGCCUCUCACAACACCCCUGUGUUGCAAAGUGCACUUCUUCCCCUGCGGAGGCUCUGCUUCUUUUGGAAAGGCUUCCAAAAGGAUAACAGCAACACUGAAAUCCCACUUGGCCUGCUUGUUUUUUUUGCCAACCCUACUCGAUUGCCCUGCAAAAACAGAGAGGAAUAUUUUCCUUGCUUUCAAGAGUAAAGUCCUCAAUUAUCAUGCCACGAAAGGAAACAGGCUGUUUGGUAGCAAAGUAAAAAUGCUGACUUUAAACCUGAGAUAAGGUUCUAUCAUUUACACUAAUGAGCUCACUGGUGGGGAAUUUGUAAAAUUUUAUGAUAAAAAGUAGCUGUAGUCAGUAUUUGAUGGAAUUUAUUAUUUCAAUUUUUUGCUGAAAAUACACAUAACUACUAAUAAUUUUCUCAUCCAAACCUAGAGAGAAAUAAAAUACAGUGAGAAUUGUCCCAGUAGAAGUUCAAAGAAUUUGUAAGUAAUCCAUUAUUUUAGAGUUAUUGCUUAACCACAGGUUGUUCUGAAUUCUGCUGGGAAGCCUGUAAAUACUUUUAACUAGUUGAGUAAUGAAUUAGUUACUCAGAAGGAGGAGACCUUAAUGAAAUAUUAAUAUUAGGAUUUUAAUUGCUGAUAACUUGUGGUUAAAAGUUAAGCCUCCAGAUCUGAUAGUCAUCAUUGUCAUGUCAGAUUUUGGUUUCUGGUGGAAAGGCACUCUGGGAUUGCCCUGUAAUAGUUUCUGUGCCAGACACUGUUUAUGUCCAAUGAGUGCAGUGAAAAAGGGGAAGUAUCUAAUAGCCUUUUCUAGCAUAUACUGUCAGAGCACUGAGAAACAUUAAGGAAAUCUUCCAUUCGCUGUAGGUUACAAAGACCUAGACUGUUCUGUUCAGAACCAGAAUAGACGUGUCUGGCUGGAGAGAGCAAUAGAGCAGCCCUGCUAUGAUAGUGGUAUAAAUGGAUGAAAGCAAAGGGAUGACAGAAAGCAGAGAGGAAUAAAGAUGUCUUCAGUUGAAGGACUGGAAAACUCUCAGUUUGACACCCGUGUGAGACAGGAAUGAAAUUCCAGCAAGUUUUCUCUCCCCCUCUGACAUUUUUCCAGAUAUUUUUCCAGCCUACCCACUGAGCUUGAGGUGUUUAGGCUCCACAGUCUCUCUGGUUCAAUGCCUGGAAAAGCUGGCCAGAGCUGCAGUACGGCGCAUGGACUUGCUUGCAUGACCACUCGCCACUGUCUGCAGGCAAGAAAUAGGUCCUUACAAAAUAUCCCACGUGCUGGUUGUACCUCUGCAGCCUUGUUUUCUACCUAUGGGUAGCUGGGCUUCUGCAGUGCUGUCUGAGCUGCCUCAUCCUCCUAAUGGUCAUGGGUUUGCCUCAUCACUGUGACAGCAAUUUGGGAGGGGGCGCAGGGUUGCAUUAUAGGCACUAAUCCCAUAGUAGAAAUAGCUGAACAGUAAACGAUGAACAUGGAGACUUAGAUGUUGAGAAAGUGUGUAGUGGAUAGGAGAAAAACGUUUGGAAGAGCUAAGUGGGAUGGCUGGUUUACGGGCAGUUACUCACGGUUUCUAACUCUGUGAGUCCUGCAAGGUACUGGCAAUAUGGGAUAAACGAGGCAAAACAACAAAAAAGAUGGGUGUGAGGGACAGAAAUGGCUGAGAAGCUGGUCUUGCAUGUAAGUGAUCGCAACUAUUAUCAUCUCUCAAGCAACACUUUGCAUUUUUCACAAAAAUACUGUCAAAUCUACAGCUCUUGUUGCGCAUCUCUGUCUUGAUAAGGCUCAUAUCACUAAGAGAUUUGAAUUUUGUAGUACAUUAAAAAUUGUGUCUACUUGUUGCCUUCCAGUCUAGCAUCCCUCCAUCCUGUACCCAUCACUUAGUGCCUAAUACAGAUGAAGCGCUGAGGUGUUGCUACUUUUCUGUGAGAAGAGCAGCCACUAGAGGGGAGGAUGUACACGGAGAAGUCCCGCUCAGUACCUCUGGUGCAAUGAGAGGCUUCCUGGGUAAGUUAAAAAAAAAAACAACUUCAGAAUUUUACCCAUCAUUUGUAGGCUGGUCUGGUUUAUCCUUUCAGGUAAAAUAUAUUGAAUGAGAUUAUUUUUAGUAAUGCAGUUUCACUGUUCAUCUUGAAACACAGCCAAAACUAAGGGCCAGGAAAAAAAUCAUUGGCUAAAUUACACAGAGAAGAUUGGAUUACCUGUUCAAACACAGCUCUUAAUUCUGCAUAUAAAUAGAAUCCCCAAAUACAAGAGAACUGUAGUAGAAAAUAAACCCAACCAACAGUCCCUAAUAAUCCCUAAUUAUUAGGAGUUUCAGUUAACAUUUGGACAGCAUUGGUCUUAAUUCUUUUAAGUCUGAAAAGGAAGCAUGACCGAGGUAGCCCCGUUUACAAUUACAGCAAGCACACAUGCUGUUCCAACCCACACUGGCUUUAGCUGAGUGUUCUCUGGCUGCUUGGGUUGGAAUUUUGCCCUGUUAAAAUACAAUUACCUAUUUGAAUAGCGACUAAGUUUCAAUGUGAGUUAGUUAUUUGUAACAAUGCACAUGUUUUGACAGAAGCGUAUGACAAGGAAAACGGG